GCGUUUUAUAUUUGAAUUGUUAAUUUAGCAAGAAUAUUGUUAUCAAGCGGUAACCGACAUAAGAGUAUUAAAUAUAUCAAUACAUACAUAUAUCUAUUUCCAUGCCGAUUAUAUAAAAUGGUACGAAGUAUCCGAAAUAGCUGCUGCCCACCAACAAUAAUAUAGUUUCCUAAACUUAAGCUUAUACCGCAUCAAGAACCUGGUUUACGACUUCACAUACUCAUCCGGCCAAAACACUACAAUUCAAGAAAUCAACUCAAUAAAUUGUUGCUCGCUCAAGGACUUCAAAGUUUUCUAUUUAAUACCCAUGAUAUAUCCAUUGGUUUUGCACAUUUCUUAAUAAAAUUCAGUUUAUAACUCAUUCAAAAUGGAAACAAGUUAAUAAUUCCUUCAUAGGAUAACAAGGGCUUGAACAUAUAGCUAACUA
rnacentral:lncRNA from 1 species